rnacentral:rRNA from 1 species
AUUGAACGCUGGCGGCAUGCCUUACACAUGCAAGUCGAACGGCAGCACGGGAGCAAUCCUGGUGGCGAGUGGCGAACGGGUGAGUAAUAUAUCGGAACGUGCCCAGUCGUGGGGGAUAACGUAGCGAAAGCUACGCUAAUACCGCAUACGAUCUACGGAUGAAAGCGGGGGAUCGCAAGACCUCGCGCGAUUGGAGCGGCCGAUAUCAGAUUAGGUAGUUGGUGAGGUAAAGGCUCACCAAGCCGACGAUCUGUAGCUGGUCUGAGAGGACGACCAGCCACACUGGGACUGAGACACGGCCCAGACUCCUACGGGAGGCAGCAGUGGGGAAUUUUGGACAAUGGGCGCAAGCCUGAUCCAGCAAUGCCGCGUGCAGGAUG